GCGCCACCAUAUUUUUGAUGCCAUUUCUUCUUCAUGCCAAAGAGAGUUUUGCAUGAGUUUUUCCCACACCAAUAACAUCUGAUGUUGCUUCUUUCUUAACACCAAAUCUGGUUUGAUUUUGAUAAAAGAAAAGUUUUGAAAUUUGAUUUCAAAAAUAUUUCUUAUCAAGAGAGUUUGUUUUCAUCCAAACUACUCCACACGCCAUC
rnacentral:lncRNA from 1 species